rnacentral:misc_RNA from 1 species
AAUUUACCCAGCACUAGCAGUCAAUAAUGGAGAAGAAGGAGAUGAAGAUGAGUGCUUUUGUUUUGGUAUUAUGGAUGAUGAUGCUGAUUAUUCUUGUUGGUGUUGGGAAGGCUAAUGAGGAAGCACCAAAUAACAUAUUUUCAGAGACAGUGAAAUCAGCAGAAGCAGCUAGCCCUAAUCCCAGCUCUUACUGGGAGGAACUUCGAAAGUUUGUCAAUAAAGUUUACACCUAUCUCUUCCCUCCCAAAAUA